CGUAACAAGGUCUCCGUUGGUGAACCAGCGGAGGGAUCAUUACUGAGUUACCGCUCAUCAACCCUUUGUGAACAUACCUUAACUGUUGCUUCGGCGGGUAGGCGUCCCCUAAAAAGGACGUCUCCCGGCCCUCUCCCGUCCGCGGGUGGGGCGCCCGCCGGAGGAUAACCAAACUCUGAUUUAACGACGUUUCUUCUGAGUGACACAAGCAAAUAAUCAAAACUUUUAACAACGGAUCUCUUGGUUCUGGCAUCGAUGAAGAACGCAGCGAAAUGCGAUAAGUAAUGUGAAUUGCAGAAUUCAGUGAAUCAUCGAAUCUUUGAACGCACAUUGCGCCCGCCAGCAUUCUGGCGGGCAUGCCUGUUCGAGCGUCAUUUCAACCCUCAAGCUCUGCUUGGUGUUGGGGCUCUACGGUUGACGUAGGCCCUUAAAGGUAGUGGCGGACCCUCUCGGAGCCUCCUUUGCGUAGUAACAUUUCGUCUCGCAUUGGGAUUCGGAGGGACUCUAGCCGUAAAACCCCCAAUUUUACUAAGGUUGACCUCGGAUCAGGUAGGAAUACCCGCUGAACUUAAGCAUAUCAAUAA
rnacentral:rRNA from 1 species